AUUGAACGCUGGCGGCAUGCCUAACACAUGCAAGUCGAGCGAGCGGCGGACGGGGGAGUAAUGUCUGGGAAACUGCCUGUUGGAGAGGGAUAACUACUGGAAACGGUAGCUAAUACCGCAUACCAUCAGAUGUGCCCAGGUGGGAUUAGCUAGUGGGUGGGGUAACGGCUCACCUAGGCGACGAUCCCUAGCUGGUCUGAGAGGAUGACCAGCACCACUGGAACUGAGACACGGCCCAGACUCCUACGGGAGGCAACAGUGGGGAAUAUGGCACAAUGGGCGCAAGCCUGAUGCAGCAAUGCCGCGUGAGUGAAGAAGGCUUUCGGGUUGUAAAGCACUUUCAGCGGAGAGGCGUUACCCGAAGAAGAAGCAACGGCUAACUCCGUGCCAGCAGCCGCGGUAAUUC
rnacentral:rRNA from 1 species